AGCCUAAAGUUUUAUUUUAGGUGACACCUGCCCAGUGCUAGAUCUGUAAACGGCCGCAGUACCUUGACUGUGCUAAGGUAGCAUAAUCAGUUGGCUUUUAAAUGGAGUCGGGAAUGAAUGGGAUAAUGGGGUUAAGCUGUCUCUACUGCAUUAACUUUAAUUUAGCUAUUAGGUGAAAAUGCCUAAGAUUAGAAAAAAGACGAGAAGACCCUAGGAGUUUUAAUAAAAGGACUACAUUUAGGCUUACAUUUUUGUUGGGGCGACAGGGGAAGAGUAUUAAACCUCUCUUUUUUUAUAUGCCAGACUUCGUAUGGCAAUUUAAACUACCCUAGGGAUAACAGCGUAAUUUUUUUAUGAGUUUGCGACCUCGAUGUUGGACUAGGAAUUUAAUAGGCUA
rnacentral:rRNA from 1 species